rnacentral:rRNA from 1 species
GACGAACGCUGGCGGCGUGCUUAACACAUGCAAGUCGAACGGAAAGGCCCUGCUUUUGUGGGGUGCUCGAGUGGCGAACGGGUGAGUAACACGUGAGUAACCUGCCCUUGACUUUGGGAUAACUUCAGGAAACUGGGGCUAAUACCGGAUAGGAGCUCCUGCUGCAUGGUGGGGGUUGGAAAGUUUCGGCGGUUGGGGAUGGACUCGCGGCUUAUCAGCUUGUUGGUGGGGUAGUGGCUUACCAAGGCUUUGACGGGUAGCCGGCCUGAGAGGGUGACCGGCCACAUUGGGACUGAGAUACGGCCCAGACUCCUACGGGAGGCAGCAGUGGGGAAUAUUGCACAAUGGGCGGAAGCCUGAUGCAGCAACGCCGCAUGCGGGAUGACGGCCUUCGGGUUGUAAACCGCUUUCGCCUGUGACGAAGCGUGAGUGACGGUAAUGGGUAAAGAAGCACCGGCUAACUACGUGCCAGCAGCCGCGGUGAUACGUAGGGUGCGAGCGUUGUCCGGAUUUAUUGGGCGUAAAGGGCUCGUAGGUGGUUGAUCGCGUCGGAAGUGUAAUCUUGGGGCUUAACCCUGAGCGUGCUUUCGAUACGGGUUGACUUGAGGAAGGUAGGGGAGAAUGGAAUUCCUGGUGGAGCGGUGGAAUGCGCAGAUAUCAGGAGGAACACCAGUGGCGAAGGCGGUUCUCUGGGCCUUUCCUGACGCUGAGGAGCGAAAGCGUGGGGAGCGAACAGGCUUAGAUACCCUGGUAGUCCACGCUGUAAACGGUGGGUACUAGGUGUGGGGUCCAUUCCACGGGUUCCGUGCCGUAGCUAACGCUUUAAGUACCCCGCCUGGGGAGUACGGCCGCAAGGCUAAAACUCAAAGGAAUUGACGGGGCCCCGCACAAGCGGCGGAGCAUGCGGAUUAAUUCGAUGCAACGCGUAGAACCUUACCUGGGUUUGACAUGGAUCGGGAGCGCUCAGAGAUGGGUGUGCCUCUUUUGGGGUCGGUUCACAGGUGGUGCAUGGCUGUCGUCAGCUCGUGUCGUGAGAUGUUGGGUUAAGUCCCGCAACGAGCGCAACCCUUGUUCACUGUUGCCAGCACGUUAUGGUGGGGACUCAGUGGAGACCGCCGGGGUCAACUCGGAGGAAGGUGGGGAUGACGUCAAGUCAUCAUGCCCCUUAUGUCCAGGGCUUCACGCAUGCUACAAUGGCUGGUACAGAGAGUGGCGAGCCUGUGAGGGUGAGCGAAUCUCGGAAAGCCGGUCUCAGUUCGGAUUGGGGUCUGCAACUCGACCUCAUGAAGUCGGAGUCGCUAGUAAUCGCAGAUCAGCAACGCUGCGGUGAAUACGUUCCCGGG